rnacentral:rRNA from 1 species
CCUACGGGUGGCAGCAGUGAGGAAUAUUGGUCAAUGGGCGCGAGCCUGAACCAGCCAAGUCGCGUGAAGGAUGACGGCCCUACGGGUUGUAAACUUCUUUUGUAAAGGAGUAAAGUGAGGCACGUGUACCUUUUUGUAUGUACUUUAUGAAUAAGGAUCGGCUAACUCCGUGCCAGCAGCCGCGGUAAUACGGAGGAUCCGAGCGUUAUCCGGAUUUAUUGGGUUUAAAGGGAGCGUAGAUGGGUUGUUAAGUCAGUUGUGAAAUUUUGCGGCUCAACCGUAAAAUGGCACUUGAUACUGGCAGGCUUGAGUACAGGUGAGGUAGGCGGAAUUCGUGGUGUAGCGGUGAAAUGCUUAGAUAUCACGAAGAACUCCGAUUGCGAAGGCAGCUUACUAAACUGCCACUGACGUUGAUGCUCGAAAGUGUGGGUAUCAAACAGGAUUAGAUACCCUGGUAGUC